rnacentral:rRNA from 1 species
AUUUGUAAUCUGGCGGUCUCGUGGCCGUCCGAGUUGUAAUCUGGAGAAGCGUUUUCGGUGCCGGCCCCGUACAAGUCCCCUGGAACGGGGCGUCGCAGAGGGUGAGAAUCCCGUCUCUGACGCGGCACGCCGGCGCCGUGCGAUGCGCUCUCGAAGAGUCGAGUUGUUUGGGAAUGCAGCUCAAAACGGGUGGUAAAUUCCAUCUAAAGCUAAAUACUGGCGAAAGAACGAUAGCGAACAAGUACCGUGAGGGAAAGAUGAAAAGCACUUUGGAAAGAGAGUCAAACAGUACGUGAAAUUGUUGAAAGGGAAACGCUUGAAGUCAGUCGCGUCUCUCGGGACUCAGUCGGACCCUAGGGUCCGACGCACUUCCCGAGUCGGACGGGCCAGCGUCGAUUUCUAUCGCCGUAAAAAGGCGCGAGGAACGUGGCACCUUCGGGUGUGUUAUAGCCUCGCGUCGUAUGCGGCGGUCGGGAUCGAGGAACGCAGCGCGCGCCUCAG